GGGGUUGACUUGGUUUUCGACAUUUGAAAUUUAAUAAAGUAUGAGGCAGGUCGAAGUUUGUAACCUUCGUAAAAAUCUACAAAACUAAAUAAAUGCUAUUAAUAUAAUUCCUUUCAAAAUUAAAGCAAUGAAUAAUUUUAUCAGUUUCAAAAAAUCGAAAAGUUAUUUAAAGUUAUUAAAUUUUGCAUAUUAAAAUAAAUAUUAUUAACUUGAUUUGUUCACUAUAACUAGACGUUGUUAUUUUUUAUAGUUUAGAAUAAUUUAUUGAAUGUUCAUAUUGUUGAACUAAGCCUGUGAAAGAGUACUUUAAUUAAAUUUGGAUGGACGUGGGUUCGAGUCCCAUCAACUCCA
rnacentral:tmRNA from 1 species